GCCAGUGUGGUGUAGUGGUUUGGGUGCUGGACUAGGACUCCUGGAGCCCAGGGUUCAACUCUCAGCUCAGACA